AUGAACGCUGGCGGCGUGGAUAAGGCAUGCAAGUCAAGCGGGAUUUAUUUGCGAUUACAUCAAGAAUAAGUCCAGCGGCAAACGAGUUAGUAAUACCUUGGUACAUACCCUGAAGUCGGGCAUAACCUGCCGAAAGGCAGAUUAAUUCCCGAUAGUCCCAGUACCCUACGUGGUACUGGGUAAAGUCGCAAGACGCUUUAGGAGUGACCUAGGUCCUAUCAGCUAGUUGGCGGGGUAACGGCCCACCAAGGCUAUGACGGGUAGGGGGUGUGAGAGCACGGCCCCCAACGAGGGUACUGAGACACGGACCUUACAUCUACGGAUGGCUGCAGUCGAGAAUAUUCGACAAUGGGCGAAAGCCUGAUCGAGCGACGCCGCGUGCAGGAAGAAGGCCUUCGGGUUGUAAACUGCUUUUGCGUGGGAAGAAUUUUGACGGUACCACGAGAAUAAGGGGUUGCUAACUCUGU
rnacentral:rRNA from 1 species